rnacentral:rRNA from 1 species
GAUGAACGCUAGCGGGAGGCUUAACACAUGCAAGUCGAGCGGGAUUAGCAGCAAUGCUAUGAGAGCGGCGCACGGGUGCGUAACGCGUAUGCAACCUGCCUUAUACAGGGGAAUAGCCCAUGGAAACGUGGAUUAAAGUCCCAUAGGAUUACGGAUUCGCAUGGAUUUGUGAUUAAAACUGAGGUGGUAUAAGAUGGGCAUGCGUCUGAUUAGGUAGUUGGUGAGGUAAUGGCUCACCAAGCCGACGAUCAGUAGGGGUUCUGAGAGGAUUACCCCCCACACUGGUACUGAGACACGGACCAGACUCCUACGGGAGGCAGCAGUGAGGAAUAUUGGUCAAUGGCCGAAAGGCUGAACCAGCCAUCCCGCGUGCAGGAUGACGGCCCUAUGGGUUGUAAACUGCUUUUGUACCUGAAGAAACCUGUUUACGAGUAGACAGUUGCCGGUAAGGUAUGAAUAAGCAUCGGCUAACUCCGUGCCAGCAGCCGCGGUAACAC